GUUCAAUAACAGAUUAUUUGGAAAAAUAUUUUGAAAUCAAGAGAUUUCAAAUAAAAACCAAAAUCUUCUAAAAUUCUUAAUUCAAUACACCCCCCUAAAAGGCUAAAACAUAAAACAAAAUCUAAAGAAAUCAGAUGUUAAUCGACAAACAAAAUAUAAUAACAAGAUUUAGAGUUUUCUCUUCGCGAAAGAAUUCAAGAGAAGGGUUUAAGGUUUAAGGUUAAGAGUUUAUGGUUUAUGCUUUGAUUUUAGGUUUUAUUAUAGUAUUCUCAUUAUUUAAGGGUUGCAAAAAAGUAUUGGUCUAAGUAAACAUAAUAUUUUUUUUGUUAAAUGUAAACUUAACAUUUUAUGAGUUGUAUGAAAAGCUUAGAGAAACAUUUCGAAUUUGUAAG
rnacentral:sRNA from 1 species